AUGUUUCAGUUGUACAACAUAAUGAUUCAAUAUAUUUAUACAUUAUGCACCAUACAGAGUUAUUACAAUAUUAGUGACUAUAGUCCCUGUGCUAUACAUUACAUCCCUAUGACUUAUUUAUUUUGUAAUUGGUAGUUUUUUAAUCGCAAUAUAUAUCCCAAGGUAGAUAGACAGAAAACUCAAAUUUUUCUUCAUUCAGAUGGAGACUGUACCAUUUUAGAUUGUAAAGUUUUUGCAGUUUAAAAAAAGUUAACAGUUUAUCUCUCUACAUUAGUGUCUACUUUUGUAAUAAGAUUUAGCAUAAAAUAUGCUCUUGAAAAACAUAAAUGUCAGUGAAACAUUGGGAAAAAAUCAUAGAAUCUCCCAAAGACCUCUCUGUCAAGAUUUGUUUUCCGGGAGUUCCUGUCAUGGCUCAGCGGAAAUGAAUCUGACUAGUAUCCUUGAGGAAGCAGGUUCGAUCAGUGGGUCGCAGACACGGCUUGGAUCCCAUGUUGUUGUGGUUGUGGUGUAGGCUAGCAGCUAUAGCUCCAAUUCGAUCCCUAGCCUGGAAACCUCCAUAUGCCAUGGGUAUGGCCCUAAAAAGACAAAAGACCAAAAAAAAAAAAAAAAUUCUCAGAGGUUUAUCUGGAAUUUACCAUAUGAAUUUGAAAAGGUAUGUAUGAAAUUAAGGAGACUUUUAAAAUUUUUAAUUAUUCUAAUUCAUUAUAAAGCUCAAACUAGUAGUGAUAUUUCUAGUUUAUAUUCCCCAAUAUUCAAUCCAAAAUGUGGCUGUUGCAUCUAUAGAAGUUCAUCUGUAUAUUUAAUCUGCAAUUUGGCCAUCGAAAGAAUAGAAGCUCUUCUUGAAAGAGAAGAUGAGUCAAGUUUGCAGUAAUACCGUUUUUACAGGUAACGUUAAUGUUUUCUACUUUGAAAAGAGGUUAUUACCCUUAAUUUGUCAAAAACUAAAUUUUACAAGCAAGUACUUUAAAACCAUUAUACAAAUUGGAGUUCCUCUAAAUGAAUUCUUUUUCUUUUUCAGGAUGGCUAAAAUCUGAAGAGUAUGACAUAUUGUAUAUUCAAACUUUAAUUCUAUUUCUGAGUGUAUUUUCUGUCAAAUUUCAUAAUAAAGUCUGCUCAGCAAAGCCUGUUUGUGUUUUCUAUACCACUACUUACUAUAUAUGUGUCUCUCUAUAUAAAGAAUCUUUUUCUUCCAUUAGGAGGAUAUACAAUGAUCUUUGUAGAGAUAACUUGCUGUUUGCUUCCUAACGUAAAGAAAACCAGUCCAAAUUAAAGUUACACUACUGAAAUAAUAUUUGUCAGCUAUUGUUUGAACAGACUAUUAACGUGGCAGUUUAUUUUCUGUCAUUACUUACCUGUUUAUUUGCUGGGGUUGCCAUAGGAAAAUAAGGAAAAUUUUUCCUUCUAAGGUCUCUCUCCUUGGCUUGCAAAUGGCUACCUUCUUGCCAUGUCCUCACCUUGUCUGUCUUCUAGGCACAGGCCUAGAGAGACACUCUUCUGGGCACAUCCUUGGUGUUUCUGUGUGUCCAGAUUUCUUCCUCUUACAUGUGCCAAUCAGAUUGGAUUAGGGCCCCCACUAAAUGGCCUCAUUUCAACCUAAAUCACCUCUUUGAAUCCCUGUCUCCAAAGAGGUCACAUUCAGAGGUCCUGGGGGUAGGGGCUUCAGUGUACAAGUUUGGGGGAACAAUUCAGCCCAUAAAAUUUAUUAUGUUGACCUUAUGUAAUACCUUCUAUUCUCUAGAAAAUGCUUUGAGGUAUUUUUAAUUUUGGAGAUGUCUUAAACAUUAAAUUUUAUGAGUCUGUGGAAAAUAGAGAUAGGAAAAAUAUUGGAAGACAAAAGCUCUAGGAGUUCAAGAAUUAAAAGAACUUAUCAUAGCCAGAUCUUUGCCAGACAGGUAUUAAUAUCUCUUCAAAAUUCCUCCUUCAUUUUAGGCAAGGGAUGUGUGUUCUAUAUUUCCAGAAGUUCUCUUUUUGAUUAAUAAGCCUAUAUUUGUCUUCUUUUUCUCUUUAUUUCAAUUUGUGAAGAAGUUCAACUUCUUACUAAAAAUCCCAGUGACAAUUUUUGUUGGUUUUUUUUUUUGUUUUAGUUUGGUUUUUUGGUCGUUUUUGGCCACACUGCGGCAUAUGCAGCUACCGAGCCAGGGAUCAGAGCAGAGCCACAGCUGCAGCAACGCUGGAUCCCUAACCCACUGUGCUGGGCCAGGGAUCAAGCCUGCGUCCCUGCAGCUCCCAAGGCAUUGCCGGUCCAGUUGCCCCACAGCUGAUGCAGUUACGCCAUAGCAGGGGCUCCAGUUUUUGUUUAUUUGUAUUUUCAUUCAUUGUCGUGUCUACUGGACACACCUUAAGUGCUAGAUACAUACAUAGGUGUAAUAUUUUGCAAGAUAAAUUCUGUUCCCCAAAUUCAUAGAAUUUAUAUUCUAUCAUGGAAGAUAGAAAUUGACAUUAUUAGUUCAAAUGACUAUUAAAAUAAUGUGUGAUAAAGUUUCUAAUUCUUGGUCUCACUUCACCCCUUGGAUUUCUUGCUAUAUCUAUACUACAAGCUGAUUUUUGUCUUUUUUAAAAAAAUUCUGAUUGCUUUUAUUUAAUAUACAUGCAUUUGAACAUUAUUCUUGAAAAGAGUUGCAUUCGACCUCUGCAAGUGGCAAGAAAAAUAGUAUUGUCACUUUAUUCUUAUUAUUGAACCUCUCUCAAUAUAAACAAAGAUCAGUUUGCUUUUUUGGCAUCUUCAUACUGUCGUGAGAAGUCAUUUUACCUUUUGUUGGUACAUUGCUUAAUAUAAAACUCAUACCCUGAAAAACAGAAGUUAUAGUUCUAUUUUCCUUUAAGAAACUAUCCUUAGGGAGUUCUCUUGUGGCUCAGUGGGUUAAGGAUCCAGAGCUGUCACUUCUGUGGCUCUGGUUACAGCUAUGGUAUGAGUUCGAUCCCUGGCCCAGCAACUUCCACAUGUUGCAGGUGGGGGGAAGCAAGGUGGAACUAAAGGAAAAUUGCAAAACAUCUGUUUAAUUUCAGAGAAGCGAUAGGAAUCUCUGUAACUGAAAAACAUUUACAAAGAUCUUUGCAGUCACAAAGAACUAAAAAGCAUCAACAAUGAUGAAACUCAUCUUGGUAUAAUGAUCCAAGCAGUCUCCUUGCCUUGAGAUUUGCUCCCCUUGAACAUGCAUCUUUCCUUGGUAUUGAAAUUACCAUUGCAGACAUGAUUGGUGUGAUCAGGUAUGACUUCAUUAUUCUUGGCAAGCAAAUGCAGCUCUGUACUGCUCAUUCAGCCAGCCAGCUUGAUAUCCGCAUUCAGGUUUAUAAGAAGAGGAAGUAAAGACUCAGAUUAACAGCCUGCUAAGAUACAUCCCUGGCUCCAGUUUUCUUCAGAUUGAAGAAAAUUCUUUACUGUGAUUCCCGUUGUUUCUGCUGUGGACAAAGGCAUGGAAAAAGAGCUAGCUUAUACUUUCUAGUGACAAAGGAUUUAAGAGCAAAGAAGACACUAGGUACAGGGGAAAGAGUUGAAGAAUACACAGCUGAAGAACAGAAGAACAGUUUGUCCUCCAAGAGCUCAUUCAGAUCUCAUGUUUUCAGUUUGAAAGCCUCAGUAGAAGUUGAAUAACUUGCAAAGGAUGAGCAGAAGUUUCUUUUUUAGUGUGACAAAAUCAGCCAGCAAGGGAAUUUGUUGAGGAGUGCUUCUGAGACACCCAAGAAUUAAAAGUCCAUGCUUCAGAAAAUGCUGGAUAUGGUCUGCAACUGCUUUCUCACAAAAUCAUACCCAGAGUAGAGUGAGUGUAUAAGCCAGGAGGACUGACGAGAGGUUCUUCAGAGAUCUGCCUCCUCUGCACCUGCCACCAAGAGGUUGACCAAACAGACCUGAAAACAAGGAUAUUCCUCAGAAGUAGCCACAAAGAUUGAAAGAUAAAAAAGCAUUUAGCCUGAAUUUCAACAUGAGAUCUUACGUUGGAAACUUCACCUCUCAUAGAAAACUACAGUAAAACUAGCUGAAGUACGAGGCUCUUACUUCCAGGCAUUGAGCAGUCCAAGAGUUAAAAAAAAAAAUGAGGUGAGCCGCACAGUCUCUCCAGCUCUCUGCUGGAGAAUACUUUGCUGUUGCAGUGCAGAGUGAGUAUACCCAGCCAGACUGGCAGUCUCACUAAACUACAGAGGCAGAAAUUGGAGUUCUGGGCUGCUGAAGUGACUGGAAUUUGUGAGGCAGAGCAUUAGAAAGGAAGGAACUCUGCAAGGGAAAUUCCCAGGAAUCUGUGGAGAUCCAGUGCUGGAUCGGAGGUCGGGGCUGGUCCUCCCCUGAGCUGAUCAAGACUCCACUAGGCCUAGUGGCAACCACGUGCUGUGGGGCUGAGAGCUUCCCAGCAAUAGCAGAGGUCAUGUGAUGCUAGGAACAGAUCAAGUGAGACCUUGCUGAGCACCUCAGUCAUUCUGCUGAUGUCCCAGAAAGGCCACUUCUUAGCGUGAAAGCCAUACCUAGAACAAAGUUCUAACUGAAGUGGACCCAUUUUAACAAGGAAUGAAACCAAGCCUCAUAAAACAAAAAGGAUCCACCAGUAAUUUGUUCUGCAUGGCAAAACAAAACUUACACCUGUUAAGGUUGACAAUAAUUUAAUCCAGAUGCCAACAUAUUACCCACUGUUUCCACGUUCAGUCACAAGUUCCUAGGUAUGUGAGAUAAAGAUUCAAAAUGAAAAGAAAAUAUAAUCCAUAAUGAAGAAUUUUUAAAAUCAGUAGAAACAACCUCAAGAUGGCCUCGAUGUUGAAAUUAGCAGCCAAGGAUUUUAAAGUGGCUGUUUUAACAUGUUCAAGUACUGAAGGGAAAAUGGUUGUAGUGAAUGAACAGAUGGAGAAUAUCAGCAAAGAAAAUUAAAACUGUAUAAUAACUAAAAUGAAAUGCUAGUACUGAAAAGUUCAGUAUCAGAAAUGAUGAAUUCAUUGGAUGGGUUUAGUAUCACUGGUUUGAGACUAUAGGGGAAGGGUUGUGAAACUUGAAGACAUAAAUACAAAUUAUACAAUAAGAACUGCCAAGAAAUGAAAUCUUUUCUCCCCUUCCACAUAAAAUGUAAAUUUCUCAGAUUAUUUCUCUUCUUUGUUAUGUUUAUAUAUUUAGUUUUUGAAGUAAACCUUGAAGUUGAGUAGUUGUGCAUGCCAUUCUAUACUAAUGUCCUAAAAAUUUUCUCCAUUUUCUUGUUUUAGUUCAUUGUAAUAUUACCAUAGAAUUAGGAUAAAGAAAUACUGAUUGGAGUUCCCAUCGUGGCGCAGUGGUUAAUGAAUCCGACUAGGAACCAUGAGGUUGCGGGUUCGGUCCCUGCCCUUGCUCAGUGGGUUAAUGAUCCGGCGGUGCCGUGAGCUGUGGAUUAGGUUGCAGACGCGGCUCGGAUCCCACGUUGCUGUGGCUCUGGUGUAGGCCAGCGGCUACAGCUCCGAUUGGACCCCUAGCCUGGGAACCUCCAUAUGCCGCAGGAGCGGCCCAAGAAAUAGCAAAAAGACAAAAAAAAAAA
rnacentral:lncRNA from 1 species